AUUUUUAAAUAAUUUGCUCCAGUGGUUGUCAACAGUCAAUUUCAAAAAUCAAUAAAAUAUGUAAUUUGGCCAGAGGUAUCUAAACCUUUGCAUACAAUUGUUUGUCAGGCAUUACCCAGGUGGUUAUUUGUUACAAAGUCCUUUAGCCCACUGGCUUUUGGGAUUAGUAGGGUUCACUGCUUAUCCAAGGCUUCUUGAACCUUGCUUCUGACACCAUUGAAGAGACUUCAACUUGUUGGGCAAAUUAAUUGCUAAAUCAUGUGGGAAAUACACCAGCUUUAUACAGAUACUCCUCCCCUUCUCAUGCCUUGUGCCUGUAAGAGGCUUCCUUAGGUGGGAGUCAAACCCGGGUCUCUCAUGUACAAGGUCACUGAGUAAUGAAUCCGAGGUAAGGAGGUAGAGAUAAUCCACAACAGAGUCUUUACUAACAAAAAGAGCAACAGUAAAGGAAAAAAAGAAAAUCAAACAGACACAAGGGCCCAAAAAACCAUGAACUACACAGACUUAGCUUGCAGCAGGCAAUAGGUAACAUUGGCUCAAGAGUGAACAAUAAGACUUAGUUCAAGGCUGUUUAAAUAGGGGAAAAAACCCAGGUGUAACAAGUCAAGCCUAAUGAGUAGCAGAGUUCAGUAUGAGUCUGGAGAGAGUCACCCUCUGCCAAUCAGGAGGUGCAUUGCAGUCCAUUGAGGAGUUCUUACAGUCCCAUAUCUUUGGAUUAUUACAUAAGUUUUCUCAGUGAGUAGCCAUCGGUUUUCUAAAGAGGUACUAUAACCCAUGCAUGCAUACCUGCUCAGGAUAUGACAUACAGUGCAAGGAAGAGUGUAAAAGAGUGUAAUAAAGAUGUGAUCAGGGGAUAAACAAUACACUAUUAUUACACAAACAGAGUUAUGGGUUUAUUAAUAGGUGCCUGAUAAGAGUGGGUCCUGUCUGAGAGGAGGCGCUCAUUAUUAGCUACCAUUACCUGGCACAUGGUAUGUUCCCUUCACUCAUGAGCUCUUUAUCCUCAUUAUCUCUUUAAGGAUUCAUGAGCAAAAGGUUCAUAAAGCACGCCCCAUGCUCUUCAUCACUUUCCUUUCAUGCUAAACUGAUUUUGCAGAAUGACCGAAC
ensembl:lncRNA